GCAGUUACCUGCUACUAUCACUGCACAAAACAGAGCAGAAAACAUCAGUUGAUCAAACACAAGACAUAACAGAAGUUUACAACAUAGGGCUGCCGAACCUGCUUCCUCCCACCACAGUUGAUGCCAUUUCCUAGCCUGGCUUGAUGUGAGCACUGAAUAGCUGCUUUGUCUAAUUACAGCUCACUACCAUUCAACUUAAACUACUCUCUAGUGAGAGCGUUCAGUGUUCAUAGCAGCUCGACAGACGACAGACAACAAACAUCUUGACAAACCAACCAGUAUUUGAUUUGGCUAAUGAUUUAUGUGCUUGUUGUAUCAUGGCCAAACUACUUUAACAGCAAUAAUCCCUGUUUCAUCUUGAUCUUGCUUUUAUUUCCAUUUGAACUCAGAUCUUGAAACAAUCAUCUGAAGUGAUAUCAGAUACUGGCUUCUGUUUCUCUUGAAAGCAAGUUAAAACAACAAUGAUAAACUAAGGCAGGAGAUGUGAGUUGUGGCAGUAGAUUUUUGAUCCAACAUAUCAGUAGGCGGAACUAUGGUCAUGAGUACCCAAAUAUAGGAACGUUCCCAUUUUUGGGAACGGAGUUCCCAAAUAUGGGAACGGGCGUUCCCAUUUAUGAGAACGGAAGGGAAUUUUUCGGCCGUUCGCCCACUAAAACUCAAAAGUGCAUCACGUCUCAAAAAAGUGCACGCUGAUUGAAGUAUCUACUAAAUCUCCAUAAAGUUAUCUUUAAUCUGACCGUGGAACAAGGAAAUUGACCGUGGAAUGAUAUUUUUAAUGAUUUUUUAAAAAUGACAAAAUGUUGAAAAUAUGGGUUAUACGACAUUUAACAUGCAAUUUUAAGGAAAACGAAGCAUUUUUUUAGUUUGAGGUUAAGUAUAAUAAUUUUCGCCUGGUUAUGAACUUUCAUACUAUCGACACCAGAUGCUGACAAAUGCAAGCGAAGACGCGGACGGUCCGGAGGUAAUAUUGUUGACUUUUGGUGUCGGGGCGGACGACCGCGUGGAACGUGAGUGAAUUUACCGAACUACUGUUGUAAACUCAGUUUAAGCGGUUGAAAAUUAUCCAGCUGUAUUUUAUCAACCCUGAAAGACAUAUUUUAUUUGGAUGCUAGCUGUUAAGCAUUGCUUUUAAGGAGCGUCAUGAGCGUGGUUUUUGCCUUCGGUAUUUUUAAGCACGAUCGUUUUUGGGGAAUUUCUUUUAUGCAGGUCGCCCUGUGUGGCUUAUUUAUAAUUUUUAUGCUGAUUUUGAUCAUUUCUCGUGCCCAUCCUACCAGGCUUUUUGCCACUUACACUCAUUAAGAAAGGAAAAAAGUAGAUUUACAUUGGGACUAGGUGUUUUGAGAGUGAAACAUUUCAGCGUUCCCAUUUUUGGAUACUUACUUGUGCUCAUCAACUAUCAGUGUUAAACAGACAGGUGUUUUACAUGCCUCCACCCUCGGCGCGGACGGUGUAUAUAGGUAUGGAAGACCUUGUUGAACAUCGCUGAGCGUUGUGAAUUACGUAAUCCUGCAGAGGGGGGCGUGCCCGUUGCGAGAUCGACGGGAAUAAAAGCGCAGAAGACCGGGCGAAACAUGCGACGGUCUUGCCGGAAAGGUCAUCUGAGAUUGUUGCGUUAACAAUAAUUUGCGGCGUUGGACGUGAUGCUUGUUAAUGAAAAGAGUCCCUGAAAGCCGUCGGUGAAAUCGUUCCCAAUUUUGGGUACGCCGUUCCCAUAAUAAGGAACGCUUGCAGCGCCAGUGUACGAGAGCGUUCCCAAAUUUGGGCUCGCGGCCCGGAUGAUGGACUGCUUUAGAAAUAGGGGAACGAUUUGAAACUACGAUGGGCCUUACAAUAUCAAACUCUUUCCCAACAAUAUUGAGAUAAAUAUCAGGCGGUUCACGAUCGUUUUAUAUUUUUUGGACGUCAUUUAACGGUUCUUUUUCUUGUUUUAAAUAAUGCCUACAUGGCGUUCCCAUAUUUGGGUUUAUCGUUCCCAAAGAUGGGAACGAAAAUGCGUUCCCGAAAAUGGGUACGCUUGACCAUAGUUCCGCCUACUGAUAUGUCAACCUUAUAUUGCUUGAGACCUCUGUGACAGACAAACAAAUAUUUAUAGUUUUUUGAUAGUUUGGAUUCUUGGCUUGAUUUAGCAGAUCAGCUGUGAACCUUGACUUUGAAAUCACAUAAAUGUCAUGGUACCCGAACGAAUCCUCGCAUGACAUUUCUUCGUAGCACAAUUUUUCGUCCGCAUUUCUUCGUCUACAAAUCUUCGUCGGUGUAUUUAUUUGUCCCUCAAUGCUUACUCUUGCAUAUAUUUGCGUUGAAGAAGAAAUGCGAGCCGAUUUUCAUAUACCCUGGUGCGAGACAAAGUAAUGCGAUAGGUACGAAUAAAUGCCCUGACGAAGAUUUGCAGACGAAGAAUUGCGAUACGAAGAAAUGCCAUAAGAAUUGUCCUGGAAUCCUUUAUUGGCCAUCAUAUAUUGACCUUGAUAAGAUAAACGCAUCAUUCGCGCAAUAUUUGUCGCACUUUGAUACCAAACUAUUGCUUCCAAAUGCCGACGUAAAGAAAACCUUUAUGUGACGUCAUAGAAACAGCGGAUUUCCCUAAAAGUAAACAAAAAUAAAAGUCUUAUAUCUCGAAAACGGGUGAAUAUUUUCCGGUAAAAUUUGGUAGAUGUUCAUUUUCGCUCUUUGUGAUUCACGCUACAUCACUUUUAUGCCAAUUCAUUAACUUUUUUGAAGGUGGGAGGGUCCCUUUAAUGAGUUAUGUUAUCUAUAUCUUAAAAUAUUCCAAUUCUGAUUCAUCUGAUAGGUAUAUAUAUACAUGUAUUUUGGCAUGUGAUAUUAAAAGCUAGACUAUUUCCAGGUUUAUAUGAAUAGUGAUAGACUAAGUUGAGACAAGUGCUAUUUGAAUAACAAAUACCUAUGGUAUUGGAAAAAUUGUCAUGAAUCUGAUAGUGUUUCCAUUCCAGCACCAAUUUCCCAGUCUUCAAAGUGUGGCAGGGAGCUCAAUCCGUGACAAGAUGUUUGGGACAGUCAAAACAUUGCCCCAAGCGGAAUGCCGAGACCUGGGCAACCCAAUUCCUUUCAUGAGGGCCCCUCAUGAAUAUGAUGAAAAUGAUAUAAUGAUGAAGUGCAUCAUUUAAUAAGUAUGAGAAGCGAAAUGAAUCAAUGCUGUGACAAGCUUUCAACUUCUGCCCCAGAUUUCCUUGCUUCUGCCCCAAAAUUCCUCAAACCUGCCACAACCUGUGGUGUGUGCCCUGACAACAUAUUGUCAAGACCUGCCACGUUUUGCAGACUGGCCCAUUUCUGUAUGCCUACCUUCCAGGUGAAGAUGCCUGGUGAGCGAGGGAGAGGACGAGGACGGGUGAGGAGAGGAGGUGGUCGAGGGGCAAGAAGAAUUCUCAACUUUUCACCCACCGCCCAGCCCGAGCCCCAAAGGUGUACCAGUGGAAGCUCCUGCACCACGUCUUUAAGGACCACCUUGUGAUGCUGAACCCGGUGCACCUUUCCCUACAAGUGCACCGUCUGUACGGCCACAUUCGCAUAUGUAUACAAACAGUUCGAGAAUGACGUCUACAGCCCUCACUCUGUCGUCGCCAAGAAGAUUAUGGAGUCGUUUGGCCGUAGGAAGGCAGCUGCGGCGGCGGCCGCCACCGGACAGCCCAUCAAAAUCAACAACGAGAUCACAAUUCACAAUCAUCCCUCACACGGGCUCGGGCGGUGCGGCAAAGGGCUCGUCUCAGGCCAGCUCGACGCCGGUGAAGCGGCGGCGACCGGAGUCGGCGCCGGCUCCCGUGGAGCGUGAGUGCGAGCUGUGCGAGCAUCGCGCGCUGCCGUGGUGCAGCCGCGGCCGCUGACGGAGCCUGCACCAGGGCCGGCCAGAGCUCGAGUUCACGCCGCUGAUGCGCGACCCCAAGUGCGCCACCUUCGUCACAGAGGAGAUCUGCGAGCAGCUGCGCCGGCGCGCCGCCGCCGAGGACUCCGACAGUGGGGUCGAGGUGGAGGUGAGCGACGCGAAGGACGGCGCGGCCGGCGGCGCCCCGUCCGCCUCCGGUGGCAGCGCGCUCAGCAAGCUCAACGAGGAGACUCACGCCUAUUGCCGCGGCGCGGCCCCGCCGGCUGGUGACCGUCCGGAAACCCAAGCCGUUCAUGGGUGACUGAGUGAAACGAAUGGACGUGCAUGUGCGUUUUUGUUCUGUGUAUGCGUGCGUUUGGAAAUGGCGUCUCUAUGUGCGUGCUUGUUUUGUAGAAGCGCUAGCGGUGCCGACGGACCCAGCGAUGGCGCGGAGGGCUUUGAUGUACCGUGUGUCUUUGAUGUUGAUGCAUUCUCGUGUUUUGUUGGUCGCGCGCCCAGCAGCACCGUGUACAUAGCCGGGGGCGUUCCUGCUCGACGCCACGUUCUGUUCGUUGUAUCUCAAUGCCAGCUUUUUGCUCCAAGUCCCGCUCGUGGAACACGCGACUCGCUCGAUUCAAAUAAUAAAUAUACACUUUAUUUCUCUGACAA
rnacentral:lncRNA from 1 species